rnacentral:rRNA from 1 species
UACGAAGGGGGCUAGCGUUGUUCGGAAUUACUGGGCGUAAAGCGCACGUAGGCGGGUUGUUAAGUCAGGGGUGAAAUCCUGGAGCUCAACUCCAGAACUGCCUUUGAUACUGGCAACCUAGAGACUGGAAGAGGUUAGUGGAAUUCCCAGUGUAGAGGUGAAAUUCGUAGAUAUUGGGAAGAACACCAGUGGCGAAGGCGGCUAACUGGUCCAGCACUGACGCUGAGGUGCGAAAGCGUGGGAGCAAACAGGAUUGAGAAACCCGAGGUAGUCCAA